rnacentral:lncRNA from 1 species
GUCUAGCUUGCAGUCUAAUGUCCCCUCUCCUCCCACUGAGAGAGCCCCUGCACACCUUGAGGACACUGAAUAUUCAUAUAAAAGGUCGGUCCUGAGCUAUGAGGAGGGAAGCAGCACGCAAGAGGGCAAAUACACGAGUCCCGCGGUCCCAGCGUACAGCAAGCCUGACUGGAAUGAAGUGACGUCCUCCCAAGAUUUCAAAGAGGGGAACAUCCCUAGAGACAGGGAGCACGAGAGCACACGGACCUCAGAUGAUCAUAAACCAGAGUUGCUCCAAGAACGGUAAAUGCCGGUUAGAACUAGCCCGAAGUAUCUCUUCACUUUGUAAUUCUACAAGUCUUAUUGUGUUCUCAACGUAACUGAGAACACAGAGCUGCCCCUCUGCCUUGCACCCAUGAGUGAAGACUUCGGAAUAGCACAUUGCAGCAAGCAAUCCCACCCGUGUUGUUGGGAAACUGGGCACUGUGUGCGUGUAAAGUCCAAGAGCCAAUUUCUGCACUGACAGCAUGUGUCAUCAGUCCUUGGGCAUGAACCUGGUUCUUUUUGUCCUGCAGUGGCAGGCAGUAGCUUCUGCUGCCCAGAGAUUUCAGGAAGCACUAUCCUACCAUUUAUGAACGCUGCAAAAUCAUGCAAGAGGGUGUCCAGGUGUUAGAUGUAUCUCUCAGGCUGAGGAACUCUGGCAUGAAUGCCUUCUCCCGUGACCAGUGUUUUUCUUCUGUGACAAUCUCAUCUGAAAGGCCUCUAGCUGUGCUCCUGAAAGUUAUAAUGGGAUUCGUGUGCAUAAUUUCCAUCAGAUUUGGUCCCAGGGCAGUUUGGAAUGGCUCUGGCCAAGGAAACAGUGUGUCCUGCUCCAUGCCUUAUGGGUUCCUGUCUAGGCAUUAGAUGUCUACCCACCCCAGCCUAUUUUUUCUUUACUGUCUUAAGCACAGAUUUUUCUUUUAGGUUUUCUGACUCAAACCACCAUGCUGAGAAGGGACAAGAACCUCCUGAUGUCCACCCAGAGCCUCCCAGGUCGAAUGAACAUGCUGACCAUGACCUGAGUAUAGCAGUGCCCAGCUCCCAACCGAGAGAAAGCAGCCUCACUGCUCCAGAGACCCCAUGUGCAAAUGAAUCUGACCCAUGCUGGGAAAGGACCACUCCAGGUUAUGAGGAGCAACCCCCUGUCACCACGGAUAGUCACCAUGAGAGCCCCGGAGCCUGGAGACACAAUGACCUUAACCCGAUGGCAGCCAGCAGGUCUAACUUCAGCUCUAAAGAGAGUGCUCUCAGUGCGUAUGAGACCCAGCAUCCCAUGCCACUGUACAUGGACCGCCAGCCUUUUAACACCAGUGUGCCAGCACCUAGCCACAGGAUACCGUCCUACGCAGACAGCCAAGUAUUCAGCACCAGAAGGCCUAUCCCAGAUUAUGAAGGGAGAGUUUAUGAUGGGAGAAGCAGCCCUAGGAGCAGCAGAUAUGACAGUGCUAUUGCCAGGGGGCACUGUGAAUUUAACCCCACAGCUCCAAGGUAA